CAAAGGGGUACGGAUUGCCUGAAGAUUGGACGGUGAUUUUUCAAUUUAUUUUUUAUUAUUAUUUUGCUCUUCUUGUCGUGAUAUCGUUUAUAAUGUGUUGUGCAGCUGGGCAAAUAAACGAUCCACUCACGUUUCCCUCGGAUUAUCACAAUGAUUUCCAAAGCCCGCGAAAAUCAAAUUUUAUCGAAAACAUAGCGGUCUUUUUAGUUUUUUUUCUACUGUACGGUCUAAAUUACUCGUUCCUUAAAAACGAAAAUAAUAAGCACCAAAAAAGAACA